rnacentral:rRNA from 1 species
UACGGAGGGUGCGAGCGUUGUCCGGAAUCACUGGGCGUAAAGGGCGCGUAGGUGGCGCGGGCAGUCAACGGUGAAAGUUCGGGGCUCAACCCUGAAUCGGCCGUCGAUACUCCCGGGCUUGAGCACUGUAGAGGCUAAUGGAAUUCCGGGUGUAGCGGUGGAAUGCGUAGAGAUCCGGAAGAACACCGGUGGCGAAGGCGGUUAGCUGGGCAGUUGC